CCCCUAGAUGUUCUGGGCCGCACGCGCGCUACACUGAACAGUUCAACAAGUCUUAACCUUGGCCGAUAGGUCUGGGUAAUCUUUGAACGCUGUUCGUGAUUGGGAUAGACCUUUGCAAUUAUGGGUCUUCAACGAGGAAUUCCUAGUAAACGCAAGUCAUCAGCUUGCAUUGAUUACGUCCCUGCCCUUUGUACACACCGCCCGUCGCACCUACCGAUUGAAUGGUCCGGUGAAAUCUCGGGACGGCGGCUUGGUCGCUUGCGUCCGACUGCUGAAACUUGAUUAAACCUUACCAUUUAGAGGAAGGUGAAGUCGUAACA
rnacentral:rRNA from 1 species